rnacentral:misc_RNA from 1 species
GAUGAAGAACGUAGCGAAAUGCGAUAAGUAAUGUGAAUUGCAGAAUUCAGUGAAUCAUCGAAUCUUUGAACGCACCUUGCACCCUUUGGCAUUCCGAAGGGUAUGCUCGUUUGAGUGUCAUUGUACUCUCACACUCCCGAUCUUUGCAUUGGGAGCAGUGGACUUGGGUUUGCUGCUUCACCGUCGCUUACCUCAAAUAGGUUAGUGCAACUCUUGGUUGGACAUAGUACGGCGUGAUAAGUGUUCUUCGCCGGUGCCUCGCAAAGAGGGUGGCCGAUCGGGAUGUUGUGCUCCAAACCGUCUUCGGACAAUCUCUGACGACUUGACCUCAAAUCGAGUAAGACUACCCGCUGAACUUAAGCAUAUCAAUAAGCGGAGGA